GAGGAGCCUACGUCCGAUUAGCUAGUUGGCGGGGUAAAGGCCCACCAAGGCGACGAUCGGUAGCUGGUCUGAGAGGACGACCAGCCACACUGGGACUGAGACACGGCCCAGACUCCUACAGGAGGCAGCAGUGGGGAAUUUUUCGCAAUGGGGGCAACCUGACGAAGCAAUGCCGCGUGGAUGAAGAAGGCCUUCGGGUUGUAAAGUCCUUUCGUGGAGGACGAAAAGGUGGGUUCUAAUACAAUCUGCUAUUGACGUGAAUCCAGAAGAAGCACCGGCUAACUCCGUGCCAGCAGC
rnacentral:rRNA from 1 species